rnacentral:rRNA from 1 species
CUACGGGGCGCACCAGUGAGGAAUAUUGCACAAUGGGGGGAACCCUGAUGCAGCAACGCCGCGUGGAGGAUGACGCAUUUCGGUGUGUAAACUCCUUUUAUAUGUCAAGAAAAUGACGGUAGCAUAUGAAUAAGCACCGGCUAACUCCGUGCCAGCAGCCGCGGUAAUACGGAGGGUGCAAGCGUUACUCGGAAUCACUGGGCGUAAAGUACGCGUAGGCGGGUUGGAAAGUCAGGUGUGAAAUCCUACAGCUUAACUGUAGAACUGCACUUGAAACUUCUAAUCUAGAGUAUGGGAGGGGGAGAUGGAAUUAGUGGUGUAGGGGUAAAUCCGUAGAUAUCACUAGGAAUACCUAAAGCGAAGGCGAUCUCCUGGAACAUUACUGACGCUAAGGCGUGAAAGCGUGGGGAGCAAACAGGAUUAGAUACCCCUGUAGUC